rfam:Danio rerio chromosome 21, GRCz11 reference primary assembly.
AUACGCAGCCAUAUCACCCUGCAGCCUAAGACUGAGCUGAGCCUGGUCAGUACCUGGAUGGGAGACCACAUGGGAAAACUAGGUUGCUGUUGGAA